GGCCUCUCAGGAUGACACCUGGAGAGUUUCCAGUACUCUACCAAUCUCGACUUUGGGAGGAAGAGUCAAGCAGAGGCCUACUCCUUCCAUUCCUAGCUUGGGCAGUGGUUAGUGAUUGGAAGGCAAUCUGCUACAAGU